GUUCUAUUCCCUCUGUGCCGAAUUACUUGUCGUAGGUAUGGAUGUAUCUAGAUGUAUUUUAGUUCUAGAUACAUCCAUUUCUGCGACGAGUAAUUUAGAACGGAGGGAGUAGUAG
rfam:Triticum urartu cultivar G1812 contig1092932, whole genome shotgun sequence.